CAAAUACUCCCUCCGUCCCAAAAUAAGUGACUCAAAAAUGACUCAACUUUGCACUUACUUUAGUGCAAAGUUGAGUCAUUUUUGAGUCACUUAUUUUGGGACGGAGGGAGUAGAUC
rnacentral:pre_miRNA from 1 species